rnacentral:rRNA from 1 species
GCGUGAGUGAUGAAGGCCUUAGGGUUGUAAAGCUCUUUUACCCGGGAUGAUAAUGACAGUACCGGGAGAAUAAGCUCCGGCUAACUCCGUGCCAGCAGCCGCGGUAAUACGGAGGGAGCUAGCGUUGUUCGGAAAUACUGGGCGUAAAGCGCACGUAGGCGGUCUAUUAAGUCAGGGGUGAAAUCCCAGAGCUCAACUCUGGAACUGCCCUUGAAACUGCUAGACUGGAAUCUUGGAGAGGUGAGUGGAAUUCCGAGUGUAGAGGUGAAAUUCGU